CAUGCAAUCAAGGCGCGCAUAAUCAAUUGAAAGCUGCACCGCCGAUUUGUGCUUCGGUUGGUGUCGAUUAGGUUAGUGAGAAUUGUGAGAGGAGCUGAUGUUCAUAAACCAAGAUGGAUUUGUUGAAAGAGAGGCUUCAGGAACUUGCAGCCAAAGGACGUCUGUCGGAGGAAGAAAAGCAGAAACAGAAAGAAAAGGAAGACACUGAGGUUGAGAAGCUUUACACUGAGUGGAAGG